UACGAAGGGGGCUAGCGUUGUUCGGAAUUACUGGGCGUAAAGCGCGCGCAGGCGGCCAUUCAAGUCAGGGGUGAAAGCCCGAGGCUCAACUUCGGAAUUGCCUUUGAAACUGUUUGGCUUGAGUACGGGAGAGGUGAGUGGAAUUCCCAGUGUAGAGGUGAAAUUCGUAGAUAUUGGGAAGAACACCGGUGGCGAAGGCGGCUCACUGGCCCGUUUCUGACGCUCAUGCGCGAUAGCGUGGGGAU
rnacentral:rRNA from 1 species